GACGAACGCUGGCGGCAGGCCUAACACAUGCAAGUCGAACGAGUGGCGGACGGGUGAGUAAUGUCUGGGAAACUGCCUGAUGGAGGGGGAUAACUACUGGAAACGGUAGCUAAUACCGCUUACCUUCGGAUGUGCCCUGAGGGGAUUAGCUAGUAGGUGGGGUAAAGGCUCACCGAGGCGACGAUCCCUAGCGGGUCUGAGAGGAUGACCGGCCACACGGGAACUGAGACACGGUCCAGACUCCUACGGGAGGCAGCAGUGGGGAAUAUUGCACAAUGGGCGCAAGCCUGAUGCAGCCAUGCCGCGUGUAUGAAGAAGGCCUUCGGGUUGUAAAGUACUUUCAGCGGGGAGGCGUUACCCGCAGAAGAAGCACCGGCUAACUCCGUGCCAGCAGCCGCGGUAAUUC
rnacentral:rRNA from 1 species